AGCUUAGUUGUGAAAGCACUUGUCUAGCAAAUAAUGGUCGUGAGUUCAAAUCUCAC
rnacentral:tRNA from 1 species